AAGUCGUAACAAGGUAGCCGUAGGGGAACCUGCGGCUGGAUCACCUCCUUAAUCGAAGAUCUCAGCUUCUUCAUAAGCUCCCACACGAAUUGCUUGAUUCACUGGUUAGACGAUUGGGUCUGUAGCUCAGUUGGUUAGAGCGCACCCCUGAUAAGGGUGAGGUCGGCAGUUCGAAUCUGCCCAGACCCACCAAUUGUUGGUGUGCUGCGUGAUCCGAUACGGGGCCAUAGCUCAGCUGGGAGAGCGCCUGCUUUGCACGCAGGAGGUCAGGAGUUCGAUCCUCCUUGGCUCCACCAUCUAAAACAAUCGUCGAAAGCUCAGAAAUGAAUGUUCGUGAAUGAACAUUGAUUUCUGGUCUUUGCACCAGAACUGUUCUUUAAAAAUUCGGGUAUGUGAUAGAAGUAAGACUGAAUGAUCUCUUUCACUGGUGAUCAUUCAAGUCAAGGUAAAAUUUGCGAGUUCAAGCGCGAAUUUUCGGCGAAUGUCGUCUUCACAGUAUAACCAGAUUGCUUGGGGUUAUAUAUGGUC
rnacentral:misc_RNA from 1 species